CCUACGGGAGGCUGCAGUGAGGAAUAUUGGUCAAUGGCCGGAAGGCUGAACCAGCCAAGCCGCGUGAGGGAGGAAGGCGCAGAGCGUCGCAGACCUCUUUUGCCGGGGGACAAAAGGCCGGACUCGUCCGGUCCUGAGGGUACCCGGAGAAAAAGCAUCGGCUAACUCCGUGCCAGCAGCCGCGGUAAUACGGAGGAUGCGGGCGUUAUCCGGAUUCAUUGGGUUUAAAGGGUGCGCAGGCGGGCCUUUAAGCCGGCGGUGAAAUCGCGGGGCUCAACCCCAUCCAGCCGUUGAAACUGGGGAUCUAGAGUGUGCGAGAGGUAUGCGGAAUGCGUGGUGUAGCGGUGAAAUGCAUAGAUAUCACGCAGAACCCCGAUUGCGAAGGCAGCAUACCGGUGCACAACUGACGCUCAGGCACGAAAGCGUGGGUAUCGAACAGGAUUAGAUACCCUAGUAGUC
rnacentral:rRNA from 1 species